UACGUAGGGGGCGAGCGUUAUCCGGAUUCACUGGGUGUAAAGGGAGCGUAGACGGCCAUGCAAGCCAGGGGUGAAAGCCCGGGGCCCAACCCCGGGACUGCCCUUGGAACUGCAUGGCUGGAGUGCGGGAGGGGCAGGCGGAAUUCCUGGUGUGGCGGUGAAAUGCGUAGAUAUCAGGAGGAACACCGGCGGCGAAGGCGGCCUGCUGGACCGCGACUGACGUUGAGGCUCGAAAGCGUGGGGAGCGAACAGG
rnacentral:rRNA from 1 species